rnacentral:tRNA from 3 species
GGUUCCGUAGCUCAGCAGGAUAGAGCAUCAGAUUCCUAAUCUGAGGGUCACGCGUUCGAAUCGCGUCGGGAUCACCA